AAAAAAGAGAAGGGUCAUCGUCAUAACGGCUAGCCAAAUCAUUCACCGUCAGCUUUUCAAUUGGUAUUAACUCCCAAUCCGAUCUCGGGUCCAAUUCCGGUUCCGAUUCUGAUUCCUGUUCCAAUUCCGUAUCUAAUUGUGGUCCCAAUUUCGGUUCCGGUUUCGGUUUCGGUUCCGGUUCCGGCUCCGGUUCCGAUGCCGUAUCCGUAUCCGAUCCCGAUGCAAUAUAUGGUUCCAGUACCAGUUCCGAUAGCUUAUCCGGUACCGAUUUCAGCUGCUUUUCAUCGGAGAUUUCAGGGGGUGAUUAGGUGACGGGGAGCAAGAGUGAAUCCAUGGACAUUGGGCAAGAAGGAUCGAAGGAAUCGCAAUUCAUUCAAAUUCACAUAAACCUAACUAAAGAGACUAGUCCUCUUUAAUAAGCAAAAAGAAGUAUGGGCCUGGUCUUGUUUUUUAACCGCCCAAUAACAAAUCCUAUCGUUGUUUAUCUAUUUAUCACAUUUUCCUUUGUUCUUCAACAAGGGUGAUUUAUGUGUAAAAGUUACAUUUUUAUCUUAUUUAAUUAUAAUAUUUAGGUCUUUAA
rnacentral:lncRNA from 1 species